CCGAAAGUCAUGUCUGGGUCAAUUAACAAUAAUUGUAUUUGUAGGAAGACGUUACAUUAUAUUUCAUUUUCAGCAUUAUUUAUUUUUCUAACAACAAUUAACAUUUUAUCGCCGGACUCCAAAAAGUGGGGAGGAUGUCCUGGGACCAUCACAAAUACGGCAGGCCAGGUCCCCCACCAUGGCUGAGAGUUCAUUCUCUUCAAGUGAUAAUGCACCAGAAGAGGAGUACCACGCUCCUUCUAGGCAGCUAUGUUCAGUCUCAAGACCUGAGAAGCACAAGGUUCCAUCUCCUUCAAAAAGCAAGAAAGAAAACUAGAAAGCAGGUUUUCCCUACUACAUUUUCCUCGAAACAUCCUCCAGGACCCCAAGUAGACACCACAACAAGUAGAC